rnacentral:pre_miRNA from 1 species
ACAAAAUUCGGACCGUUGUUCUACCGAGCAGCAUCACCCGCUCGGUGGAAGAUCUUCCCUUUGUCGU